rnacentral:lncRNA from 1 species
GAUCAGAGAUUUAAUUGAAAAAUAUUAUAUUAAAUUAAUACCUCAAAUAUUAUACAUAAUUGUGCGAGUUUAAUUAUAAUAAAUAAAUUAAUAGAUAGUGAAAAGGUUUGUUUUAGGGAAAUUGAAAUAUAAUUUAUAGUUUAAAUAAAUACGAAAUUAAUUAAAUAUUUAAAAGGUUUUUAAUGAAAUAAUGAAACAUACAGUUAUAUUUUAAUUAAAUACGAAAUUAAUUAAAUCUUUAAAAAGUUUUGAGUGAAAAAUGAAAUAUACAUUUAUAUUUUAAUUAAAAAGAUAUGAAACAAUUUUAUUCAUAUGCAAUUUUAGAUAAAAU